rnacentral:rRNA from 1 species
GACGAACGCUGGCGGCGUGCUUAACACAUGCAAGUCGAACGAUGAAGAAAAGAAUUGAAGCUUCGGCAGACAUUCAUUUCGGAUUAGUGGCAGACGGGUGAGUAACGCGUGAGCAACCUACCUCUUACAAAGGGAUAGCCUCGGGAAACCGGGAUUAAUCCCAUAUAACAUUGCGACGAAGCAUUUCGCUGCCAUCAAAGCUACGGCGGUAAGAGAUGGGCUCGCGUCCCAUUAACCAGAUGGGGAGGUAACGGCUCACCAUAGUAACGAUGGGUAACCGGGGUGAGAGAGUGAACGGUCACACGGGAACUGAGACACGGUCCAGACUCCUACGGGAGGCAGCAGUGGGGAAUAUUGCACAAUGGAGGGAACUCUGAUGCAGCGACGCCGCGUGAGUGAUGAAGGAAUUCGUUUCGUAAAACUCUGUUCUAUGGGAAGAAAAGGACUGUACCAUAGGAGAAAGCACCGGCUAAAUACGUG